AGACCCGAAACCCGGUGAUCUAGCCAUGGGCAGGUUGAAGGUUGGGUAACACUAACUGGAGGACCGAACCGACUAAUGUUGAAAAAUUAGCGGAUGACCUGUGGCUGGGGGUGAAAGGCCAAUCAAACCGGGAGAUAGCUGGUUCUCCCCGAAAGCUAUUUAGGUAGCGCCUCGUGAAUUCAUCUCCGGGGGUAGAGCACUGUUUCGGCUAGGGGGCCAUCCCGGCUUACCAACCCGAUGCAAACUGCGAAUACCGGAGAAUGUUAUCACGGGAGACACACGGCGGGUGCUAACGUCCGUCGUGAAGAGGGAAACAACCCAGACCGCCAGCUAAGGUCCCAAAGUCAUGGUUAAGUGGGAAACGAUGUGGGAAGGCCCAGACAGCCAGGAUGUUGGCUUAGAAGCAGCCAUCAUUUAAAGAAAGCGUAAUAGCUCACUGGUCGAGUCGGCCUGCGCGGAAGAUGUAACGGGGCUAAACCAUGCACCGAAGCUGCGGCAGCGAACGUAUCACUUAAAGCGAUUCAGCGGGUUACGAUUGACGGAGCGAAGCGACGUCAAAGCGUAUACAAAGUCGAGUCGGUUUAAGGAUACGUUCGUUGGGUAGGGGAGCGUUCUGUAAGCCUGCGAAGGUGGCCUGUGAGGGUUGCUGGAGGUAUCAGAAGUGCGAAUGCUGACAUAAGUAACGAUAAAGCGGGUGAAAAGCCCGCUCGCCGGAAGACCAAGGGUUCCUGUCCAACGUUAAUCGGGGCAGGGUGAGUCGACCCCUAAGGCGAGGCCGAAAGGCGUAGUCGAUGGGAAACGGGUUAAUAUUCCCGUACUUGGUGUUACUGCGAAGGGGGGACGGAGAAGGCUAUGUUGGCCGGGCGACGGUUGUCCCGGUUUAAGCGUGUAGGUGUGUGUUCCAGGUAAAUCCGGUUCACUUUAACACUGAGGCGUGACGACGAGGCACUACGGUGCUGAAGCAACAAAUGCCCUGCUUCCAGGAAAAGCCUCUAAGCAUCAGGUAACAUCAAAUCGUACCCCAAACCGACACAGGUGGUCAGGUAGAGAAUACCAAGGCGCUUGAGAGAACUCGGGUGAAGGAACUAGGCAAAAUGGUGCCGUAACUUCGGGAGAAGGCACGCUGACACGUAGGUGAAGUGAUUUACUCAUGGAGCUGAAGUCAGUCGAAGAUACCAGCUGGCUGCAACUGUUUAUUAAAAACACAGCACUGUGCAAACACGAAAGUGGACGUAUACGGUGUGACGCCUGCCCGGUGCCGGAAGGUUAAUUGAUGGGGUCAGCGCAAGCGAAGCUCCUGAUCGAAGCCCCGGUAAACGGCGGCCGUAACUAUAACGGUCCUAAGGUAGCGAAAUUCCUUGUCGGGUAAGUUCCGACCUGCACGAAUGGCGUAAUGAUGGCCAGGCUGUCUCCACCCGAGACUCAGUGAAAUUGAACUCGCUGUGAAGAUGCAGUGUACCCGCGGCAAGACGGAAAGACCCCGUGAACCUUUACUAUAGCUUGACACUGAACAUUGAGCCUUGAUGUGUAG
rnacentral:rRNA from 1 species